AAAACAAAACAAUAUGGUCGCUAGUGCGCACAACUGGAACCAAACCGGAAUGCGUUGAUAAAACUGAAUCUUCAGAAAAGUGAUAAUUGAUUUCCGUCAUUGUCAUGAUCAUUGUACUGUUCCACGUGCUUUACCUCUUCGGAAAGUUUGUAUAUCAGAAUUAUCGAAUUAAAAAACAAAAAGCUAUAAGCAAUGAGGUGAUCAACACGCAAAAACCAUUAGAGAUUAGCGAAAACGAUUAUAGGAUGAGAGAUCCUGAAGCACCUCAGGAUUUCGAACAAAAAUCUAUUAAAUUUUUUCCACCAGCAUACGUGCAAAGAUACGUUGCUGUUAGUAAUGUGCUCAAUAGUCCCAAGUACCAAGGGAAACUAUGCAAGGCCGUUGAUUUCGGAUGCGCGGAACUUGAUUUUUUAGUUUACCUAAAAAAUACAACAGGCAUAAAAGAGAUAUUAUGCGUGGAUACUGAUAGAGUUUUGUUAGAAAGUUACAAACAUAAGGGAGGCCCAUUAAUUUCUGAAUAUUUACACACGAGAACAACUCCUCUUGUGGUUGAAAUAUGUGAGGGUAGUGUUACUCAUAAUGACAAGAAACUAGAAAAGACUGAUGCUGUAAUUUGCAUAGAAUUGAUCGAGCAUUUGUAUCCAGAUACUCUGGAGGAGCUUCCUUAUAAUAUCUUUGGAUUUAUUAAACCAAAAUUAGCCAUAAUAACAACUCCUAAUGCAGAUUUUAAUGUAUUAUUUCCAAACUUUUCUGGAUUUAGGCAUCCUGAUCAUAAAUUUGAAUGGACUAGACAACAGUUCCAGGAUUGGGCUGAAAAUGUUAUUACAAGAUAUCCAGAUUAUGUAGUAACUUUUGAAGGUAUUUGCAAAGGACCAGAAGGUUCUGAAGACUUAGGAUGUUGUACUCAAAUGGCAAUAUUUCAUCGACUAAGCGAAAAAGAUAGUUGUAAUACCGGCAUUGAGGGUUUAUUUGUAACUGUAGCAAAAUACGAAUAUCCGUUUCGUGUAGACAAUCGUUCUGACGAACAAAAAAUUCUCGACGAGGCUGAAUAUUACAUUAGACAUUUGUCCUUUCAAGAUAGCGAUAUGGAAGAGGAAGUACCGUUGACGAAAUUAUUGGACAUGUUAAAAUCAUUUCAUAUUUCUAUAGAAUUGUUACAAGCGAUUUUAGAAGAAGCUGGUUGGACGGUCACGAAUCGUGAAUUAGGACCGGUUGUACUUGUACCACCACAUUCAACAUUUUCUGACUACAGUACCGUGGGAGAAUCUUUUUGGUCUAAUGGCUAUAAUUCUAGCGAUGAAAAUGAGUGGAAUAGAGAUCCUGGACCACCUGCAAAUUCUAGAUUUUUAGAACCGGACCUCGGCUCAGAAAUUUGGGAUAAUGAGAACUGGAACGACGAACCGAGUAUCGUUAUUCCCCAAAAUAAUUCUGUCAUUGAAGACAAUACCUAUCUUUUUGACGAAGAAAACAUUUUAUCGAAUAACAUAUCAGAAACAAUAAGGGACAUUGAAAUCUCGGAAAAGUACAGUGAAACUAAUAGCGAAGGAACUUUAGCUCCGGAAUUCUCAUGUUCGAGUACCACUGAUCAUACAAGCAUCGACGUUCUUGAUCAUUCAUUUCAGUGUAAUUUACCAUCAGAUUUCAAAGAAUCUGCGAGGCUUCCUGAUUCUUCUUUUAAUACCGACGAAAGCUCAAAGAAUGAUUCCUUUGUUGAUUUACCGUACUCUUUAGAUACGCAACAAUCUACUUUGUCAGAUACCACAUCUAAACUUAAUCGAACGUUAGAUUUCUUGCCUUGCAUGUCCGUUUCCCGUGCAUCAACUUCGCCUGAACCAUAUCUUUUACAAACUGUUAAAAUGGACCAACAUUUGACACACGACAGUAUGUGCAAUCAAAGUAUGAGUAAUCACUGGAUGCUAAACAAUUCUCUUGAACAGACAAAUGAAUCAUUGAACAUUACUGCGAGUGCGAGUAAUGUCGAAGACAAGAAGUUAUUGCAAGAGAAUAAUUUUAACGAUAAUCUUCUACGUAAUAUAUAUGUAAAUACCUCGUAUAAAGAACCCGAGGAUUCUGAUUUCGAACUUUUAAGCAGUAAGGAAAGCGUGAGUCCAAAGUAUUCUAAUUCAGAUCAGGUGCAAAGUGUUCAACAAGAAUUACCAUUGAGCAGCAACACGUCGAUUAGUAGUUAUACCUUGACAGAAAGUCAACCACAAUUUACAAGUUCACCAAAAGUUAGUACGAAGGUGAAUACUGUAGAUAAGAAAAGAAGAUCUUUAGACUUAAACAGGCAAACAAAUAGUUCCAGCUCAUUAAAAGGACUACAGCAAUCUUGCUUAACUAGUCUCAGUAGCAAUAACUUGUUAGAAAAUAAGUGUGAAAUAUCUUUAGGAAGCAAUAGCAAGACUAAUUGUAACGAAAAUAAGAAGCCUUUUCGUACACACGAUAUAGAAAUAUUGGAAGAUAAAAAGGAUCUAACAGAUAAAUGUAACGAUGAUACUCUGGUAAGCAGCGGUGUAUCGAUGUCAAACGAGAAACAAAUGGCAAAGGAUUUGUCGACAAGGUGUUCUUUAAGCAGUAAUAACAGUGCAAAUAGACAUGAACUGAUACAAUUAGAUCUUGCUAGUACUCUUAAUGCAAUUAAGGAACAGCCAAAUUUCUGCGUUGUACAAACAGCAGAGCAAAAUGAGCUUGCCAUAACACAUACAAGUAGCUUAGAAUCAAUAAAUUGUGAUAAACAAGUUCCAGUAACUGUUAAAUCAGAACCUUGUCUGGAUUUUGUCAUUGACAAAAGUGAAGGUAAGACUGAGACAAAAUCCGAGUUGCACGAUAUUUGUAAUUUAAGAAGCGAUAAAAAUACAGAUACUACUGAGUCGUAUAAUCAUGCCAAAGAGAUUAGUAGUUUAGAAUGCGUACAUCUUGUAUCCAGUGUUCGAGUAGAGAAUACACAAAAUGUUCAAUCCACGUCAGUAUUAACAAAUGAAAAACAAAUUGAAUCUAACAUUGAGAAUCAUGAAUUCGCGUGUAAAAGCGUAAAUCCAAAUGAUUUAGAAACAGUAGAAACCAUUGAAUUGAAGAGUUCUCCAGAAACUGUGGAAACUCCUCCUAAAAGCUGGUCACCCGAAGUUAUGGAUUCUGGAUAUCCAAAUUCAACUUCGGCUCCAGAUAUGACACCAGAGUACGAUUUAUCGAGCAUAGCUCAAGAUCACAUAUCAGAUUCAGAGCCACCGAGUAUAGCGGAAGCACCGAGGCUCGAAGCACCCGAGAUAGUUGAAGUUGUAAACGGAGACCUUGUGAAUAACAACAGAGAUAACGAGGGUAACAACAUGAUCGCUGCAGAAUUAAACGACUUAGAAGAUUUGCAACCAUUAAUCGAUGUACUUGAAAAUGAUCUUGAAAACGAGAAUGAUAUUUAUGUUCUGGAAAAUGGUUUUCCCUUUUGGCUGUUAAGAAUACUUAACAUGGCCAACCCUAUUGAUGUUGAAAUGCAUAUGCGGGAUCACAGAGAAAUGAGGUUUCCAAACGAAGCAGCAGGUGACGAUGUGCGGUACAUGAAUAUAGAACAUGAUGAGGGCUUCAACAGUAGUUCUGCAGAGAACAGUAAUUUAGAAAACAACGAGAUGGAAAAUGACGGCAACAGUGAUGCUAGUUAUAAUAUUGAAAAUGAUAACGAAAAUGUGUCAAAUAGUGAUAGUGGAAGUGAAGAGUGGGCUGCUGCAGGUGAUUCGUGAUGCCAUUGAAAUGAUACUUACUUAAACGCGGUGUCACAUAUCAUUCUUUACUUUGUUUACAAAAUGUAAAGACAAGCUCUAAGUUAGUAGUUAGUAAAAUAAAAGCUGGAAGCGUAUUUUACAAGUACCUUAUUACAUGCAAUUCCAACCGAAGCAAAGAAAUCAAACCAAGAAUGUUUGAGGAACAGGAUGUACACAGGUAAAUUGACAAAACUAGAAACGAUGUUCUAAAUGGACGAUUUAUUUCCAAUAAGAAGUAAUAAAUAAUUUUUGUAUAAAAAUAAAUAUAAGAUAGUAUACAAAGCAACAUGGCUGAAUAAGCAUGAAAAUAUUUUAUUAUAAACAACACAAUUGUAGAAGUGUACAAAUAUUACAACAUAAAUAAUUUGAUAAAAAAAAUUUGAUCAAAAAUAGAGAAUUAUAUUAAUUAUAACGUGUAAGAAGUGCGUAUUGAUGGUAACAAAAAAAAAAUGCUAAUAAUUUUUGCUUCGUUAGCAGUUGUAAAAAAAUACCUGUGUUAAGCAUAACACAACCAAUCAAUGAAAAAUGUGCAACGGUACGAUACAAUUAUCAGAUUAAUUAUUAUUCUUGCAAGUCUGCUGAAUUUAAGGGCGUUCUAGUUUGAAACUAUGUACAAUCGCGCGAACAAUACUUUUGACAAGAAUACUUAUUUGACGUGAUACGACAUUGAGUAGGGAUAAACGUACACGACAAUAGCAAUGAUAUUAGCAUACAUAUAUUUUAUGUUUCAACAACUGGUUGAAAUCUUACGCUUGUGUAUAAUUAUCAUUGAAUUCGUGUUUUAUCAGCGCAUUUACACAGCUUGCAGCUCUGCUGAAUUUUACAGAGUGUCAAAUAAAUGAUGGAAUUAUACCGAGCGAAAUGCUGCGCGUAUAUAUAAAAUAGUUCAUUUAAAAAUUUAAAAGCUACAUAUAUGAAAAAAAAAAUCUAUAAGAUCGUUAAACUUUAUUUUUGAGUAUAUUAAUCACCUUUUAAUUACUUUUUCAUGUCUGUGUUUUGCUAUAAAAUCCUUGUCCUUUUUAUACGACGUUCAAAAUUUUAUAUCAUUUUCUUUAACACCUACCCGUUUUAAUUAAUUAUCUUUUAAUAGAGAGCAAUAUAAGUUGCAAAAUAUAUAUCAAAUAGUACUAACGAAGAAAAUUUAUUAAACAAAUUUUUAACGAGACUAGAUGAACUUAGUUUAUCCUUUACGCGACUUAAACAACAUCUAGUACGUAUAUUGAUGAACUAGCACCACAUUACUGACAUUAAUAGUAAGAUCAUCACUAUAUGGUAAUCAAUAAAGGAUUGACGAUUUUCUUAGCAAACGAGACUAGCAGAAAACGUUAUAUAGUUUGAUUUAAACUCAUAGUCUACUCUAUUUUAAUAAGUAGAGAAAUCGUGUAAUUACUAUUGAAGAUAUCUGUCACCCAAGUUACGUAAUCGAAGGAAUAGAUUUUUAAAAUGUUAUGUUUAAAGUAUCCUAAUUUUAACCAUACGGAAACGUAUACGUGUGUGGGAAGCUUCAAUGUAAUAAAAAUAAAUUUACAACCUCUCACCAAAAUUUUCUCAAUUUUAUACAGAUUGCACAUGCACACAAAAUACCAUAAUAUUGUUUAUAGUAUCAGGUGACUUGUCAAAUGGCACUGUAAGUGUUC
rnacentral:misc_RNA from 1 species